UUGAAGACUUGAAUGAACCUGAGUCAGUCAGUCAACAAACACUUGCUACAAAACCCCUCACUGAUCCUCGCAUCAGCCCUUGCAACACUGUGCUCUCAUCCUCACACCCCAGAGACUCUGGCUACCCUGUGUUAACAUCUGCCCGGCUGCUCCGAUUUGCUGGAUGGAAGCUGGGAAGAGGGAAGCUGGACUUUUGCUACUCAUGCACAAUAAGACUCCUGUCUUUCUGCAUGUGAAUUCUUGUGGAAACAGGACACAAACAUGUAAAGGCAUCACUCUGCUUUUU